CGAACCCCGCCAGGUCUGGAAGGAAGCAACGGUAGUUAGGAUAUCUUCGUGUGCGUGAGUUGCCUGGCCGUG
rnacentral:SRP_RNA from 1 species